UAACCUGCCCAAGAGAUCGGGAUAACACCUGGAAACAGAUGCUAAUACCGGAUAACAACAGAUGAUGCCUAUCAACNGUUUAAAAGAUGGUUCUGCUAUCACUCUUGGAUGGACCUGCGGUGCAUUAGCUAGUUGGUAGGGUAACGGCCUACCAAGGCGAUGAUGCAUAGCCGAGUUGAGAGACUGAUCGGCCACAUUGGGACUGAGACACGGCCCAAACUCCUACGGGAGGCAGCAGGC
rnacentral:rRNA from 1 species